rnacentral:rRNA from 1 species
CGCCUUUUGUAAAACUAUAAAAGGUCUAGCCUGCCCAGUGACUCUGUUCAACGGCCGCGGUAUCCUAACCGUGCAAAGGUAGCGUAAUCACUUGUUCUUUAAUUGUGGACUAGUAUGAAUGGCACCACGAGGGCUAUACUGUCUCCUUUUUCCAAUCAGUGAAACUAAUCUCCCCGUGAAGAAGCGGGGAUAAUCUUAUAAGACGAGAAGACCCUAUGGAGCUUCAAACAAUAUAGCAAUUAUUAUACACACCCAUUUUUCCCGAACAUAAAUAUUAAAAUUAUAUGACUAUGAGCUUUUGGUUGGGGUGACCGCGGAGCAUAAUAUAACCUCCAUGCUGAAAGAAAUAUUCUAAGCCAAGAAUUACCUGUCAAAGCAUCAAUAUAUUGACACUCAUUGACCCAAUACACUUGAUCAACGAACCAAGUUACCCUAGGGAUAACAGCGCAAUCCACUUCAAGAGCCCCUAUCGACAAGUGGGUUUACGACCUCGAUGUUGGAUCAGGGUGUCCUAGUGGUGCAGCUGCUACUAAAGGUUCGUUUGUUCAACGAUUAAAACCCUACG